AUGGAGAAAUCUAGAAAGAAUAAACAGGAAGCUCCCAUUCUUGCUUUCUUUUGUCUCAUUGAACAGCUGGAAGACAAAGUUAUACUGUUCAGGGAAGAUAUCUUGGAGAAAGAUGUGCACGUAAAGAUAACUCUAGACCCCAGCAAAGGUACCUCCAAAUUACUCAUCACUGAAUCAGUGCUGGGACAGUAUCAGAAGGCAAGAGAAAGCAUCACUCACAAGAUUAAAAGAGAAAAGCAACAGGAAAAACACAUGGAUGAUAAGCAGGCAUUUGCCCAUGGACUCAAGUGCAAGUCCCAAUUCACCAUCACCCCAGGCUCUGAGCAGAUCCGUGCCACUAUUGAACGGGAUGGCUAUGCACAGAUCCUAAGGGAUGUGGGUGGAAUCGUUUUGGCCAAUGCCUGUGGCCCUUGCAUCGGUCAGUGGGACAGGAAAGACAUAAAGGAUGGGGAGAAAAAUACAAUCGUCACCUCCUACAAUAGGAACUUCAUGGGCCGUAACGAGAUGCAAACCCUGAGACCCAUGCCUUUGUCACAUCCCCAGAGAUUGUCACAGCUCUGGACAUUGCGGGAACCCUUUAAGUUCAACCCAGAAACUGACUUUUUGACAGGUAAGGAUGGCAAGAAGUUCAUGUUGGAGGCUCCAGAUGCAGAUGAGCUUCCCCGAUCGGACUUUGACCCAGGUCAGGACACGUACCAGCACCCCACUAAAGACAGCAGUGGCCUGCGGGUGGAUGUGAGCCCUACCAGCCAGCACCUGCAGCUCCUGAAGCCUUUUGACAAGUGGGAUGGCAAAGACCUGGAAGACCUGCAAAUCCUCAUCAAGGUCAAAGGGAAGUGCACCACAGACCACAUUUCUGCUGCUGGCCCCCGGCUCAAGUUCCGUGGGCAUCUGGAUAACAUCCCUAAUAACCUACUCUUUGGUGCCAUCAACAUUGAAAAUGACAAAGCCAACUCUGUGCGCAAUGCUGUCACCCAGGAGUUUGGCCCUGUACCCUACACUGCUCACUACUACAAGAAACAUGGCAUCAGGUGGGUGGUGAUUGGAGAUAAGAACUAUGUUGAAGGCUCAAGCCAGGUGCAUGCAACACUGGAGCCUCGCCACCUGGGAGGCCGGGCCAUUAUCACCAAGAGCUUCACCAGAAUCCAUGAAACCAAUCUAAAGAAGGGCUUGCUGGCCCUCACCUUUGCCGACCUCUCUGACUACAACAAGAUUCAUCCAGUUGACAAGCUGAUCAUUCAAGGCCUGAAGGACUUUGCCCCUGGCAAGCCUCAGAACUGCAUUAUCAAGCACCCCAACGGGACCCAGGAAACCUUCCUGCUGAACCACACUUUCAGUGAGAUGCAGAUCGAGUGGUUCCGUGCAGGCAGUGCUCUGAACAGGAUGAAGGAGCUGCAGCAGUGA